UGAGUACGGCGCAGCAUAAUUUCGGGGAGAGGAUAAACACCCUUAGUAUUUUCAGGAAGGGACAAUAUAGGACAGGCAGAAGAGAAAUCCUGCUGGGCUUGGCAGGAGGAAAAAGGAGUGAGGAGAGGGAAUGGCAAGAGGAAAAAGGAGUGUGGAGAGGGAAGCACUGUCUGAAUAAUGAAAUAG
rnacentral:lncRNA from 12 species